AAAAAGUUGGUGACUGUAAUUUAGGUUAACCCAUUAUAAUAUCCUACCCUUUGUGAAUUGUUUGUUAUGUAAAAUUUUUUGUCUAUCCCUAAAGAAAGGUUGGAUAAGUGUAAUAGCUUAAAAAACUUUUUUUAGGGAAUGGCUUAAAGACUUUUAUUUAAAAUUAAACUUUUUGUAUUCAUUUGUCUAAAAUUAAUUUUUAAAUAAAUAAUUUAAAAACAACUUUUGACAAUGGAUCUCUUGGUUCUCGCAACGAUGAAGAACGCAGCAAAAUGCGAUAAGUAAUGUGAAUUGCAGAAUACGUGAAUCAUCAAAUCUUCGAACGCAUAUUGCACUUUUUAGUUUACUAAAAAAGUAUGUCUGUUGAGUAUCAGUAAAAUAUUCUCAUAAAAUCAUUUGAUUUAUGGUUAUGAGUGUUUUACAACGAUAAACAGUUGUUUCACUUUAAAUGGAUUUUAAUUGAAAUCGUCGGUUGGGAACGAUUUUAAUUUUUUUUAAAAAUUGGAUAAAAUUUUCCCGUAAAAAGGAAUAAAGCUAUUUCAGUUUUUAGAAAUUUUAAUAGUUUCCAUACCGGUACGGUUAAAGGAAAUUUAUUUAUAAAUAACUUGAUCUCAAAUCAGAUAAGAUACCGCUGAACUUAAGCAUAUCAAUAAGCGGAGGAAAGAAACUAACAAGGAUUCCCUUAGUAACGGCGAGUGAAGCGGGAAGAGCUCAAAUUUGAAAUCUUCAAGGUUCUACCUUGACGAAUUGUAGUUUAAAGAAGUGUUUUCUGUUAGAGGAGUGGCAAAAGUUCUUUGGAAUAGGACAUCAUAGAGGUGAGAAUCCGUAUUUGGUCAUUCUUUCUAGCUGUGUGAUACACUUUCAAAGAGUCGGAUUGUUUGGGAAUGCAGUCCAAAAUGGUGGUAAUUUCAUCUAAAGCUAAAUAUUGGCGAGAGACCGAUAGCGAACAAGUACCGUGAGGGAAAGAUGAAAAAACUUUGAAAGAGAGUUAAACAGUACGUGAAAUUGUCAAAAGGAAGCGUUUGACACCAGUGUUGUUUUUCCGAAAAUCAAUUGUGCCUGGCUGGAUUUUGUAGGAGUUUGACCUUAUCAGCUUCUUCUGCUUUUUUCCGGUCUGGUGCAAUGCACUUUUCGGUUAACAAGUCAACAUCAAUUUCUUUUGUUGUAAAAGGUAAUUGGAAGGUGGUUUCUUUUCGGAGAAAGUGUUUAUAGCCUUUUACCUCUACAAUCGGAGAGAUUGAGUCUGCAGCGUAGAUCCUUCGGGUUAGAUACAUUUGUGCUAAGUUAUAGCCCUGUAUAGACAACUUGUUGACUAUACUCGGUCAUGUAGCUU
rnacentral:misc_RNA from 1 species